AUUGAACGCUGGCGGCAUGCCUAACACAUGCAAGUCGAGCGGAGCGGCGGACGGGUGAGUAAUGCCUAGGAAUCUGCCUGGUAGUGGGGGAUCCCGUCCGGAAACGGGCCCUAAUACCGCAUACUAUCAGAUCACCCUAGGUCUGAUUAGCUAGUUGGUGGGGUAAAGCCCUACCAAGGCGACUAUCCGUAACUGGUCUGAUAGGAGGAUCAGUCACACUGGGACUGAGACACGGUCCAGACUCCUAAGGGAGGCAGCAGUGGGGAAUAUUGGGCAAUGGGCGAAAGCCUGAUCCAGCCAUGCCGCGUGUGUGAAGAAGGUCUUCGGAUUGUAAAGCACUUUAAGUUGGGAGGCGUUACCAAAAGAAUAAGCACCGGCUAACUUCGUGCCAGCAGCCGCGGUAAUUC
rnacentral:rRNA from 1 species